CGUCAGUGUAAUCAUGAGUUGUCGCGCUUAAUUUUAAUCGUUCGUCUUUCUUAUAUAAUUAGUAUUUUUUAUUGUUAUGAGAUGAUAAAACAUGAAUAAUACUUUACUUGUGACUUAUAUUUUUAUUUUUUUUAAAUUUUUUAAAUAAGACGGACGAUCAAAAUUGGACACGGAAAACUAUAGCUGCACUUAAA
rfam:Oryza meridionalis cultivar OR44 (W2112) chromosome 12, whole genome shotgun sequence.